GAAACUUUUGACUAUAUAAUCAAAGGUCGAAAGCAAUUCCACCUGAAGUUAGCCUCUUAUUUGAAUUUAAAUUUAAAUUUGAAUUUGAAUUUAAAUUUGAAUUUGAAUUUGAAUUUAAAUUUAAAUAAGGGGCUAACUUCAAGUGGAGUUGCUUUCGACCUUUGACUAUAUAGUCAAAAGUUCC
rnacentral:pre_miRNA from 1 species